rnacentral:rRNA from 1 species
CUUUAGUGGCGGACUGGUGAGUAACGCGUAAGCAAUCUGCCUGUUAGAGGGGAAUAACAAUGAGAAAUCAUUGCUAAUACCGCAUAUGCCAUAGUUAUCACAUGAUAAUAGUGGGAAAGGAGCAAUUCGCUAACAGAUGAGCUUGCGUCUGAUUAGAUAGUUGGUGGGGUAACGGCCUACCAAGUCGAUGAUCAGUAGCCGAACUGAGAGGUUGAUCGGCCACAUUGGGACUGAGAUACGGCCCAGACUCC